UACAGAGGAUGCAAGCGUUAUCCGGAAUGAUUGGGCGUAAAGCGUCUGUAGGUGGCUUUUUAAGUCCGCCGUCAAAUCCCAGGGCUCAACUCUGGACAGGCGGUGGAAACUACCAAGCUGGAGUACGGUAGGGGCAGAGGGAAUUUCCGGUGGAGCGGUGAAAUGCGUUGAUAUCGGAAGGAACGCCGGUGGCGAAAGCGGUCUGCUGGACCUCUACUGACGCUGAGGCGCGAAAGCCAGGGGAGCGAACGGG
rnacentral:rRNA from 1 species